GGCGUGUACUGCUCUGCUGGGCCUUACCUCUUGGUGAGCCGGCGUGGCCUUAACUGGUUGCGUCGGGGAACCAGGACUCUUACCUUGAGAAAAUUAGAGUGUUCAAAGCAGGCCUAUGCCUGAAUACAUUAGCAUGGAAUAAUAAAAUAGGACGUGCGGUUCUAUUUUGUUGGUUUCUAGAGUCGCCGUAAUGAUUAAUAGGGAUAGUUGGGGGCAUUGGUAUUGAGUCGCUAGAGGUGAAAUUCUUGGAUUGACUCAAGACCGACUACUGCGAAAGCAUUUGCCAAGGAUGUUUUCAUUAAUCAAGGACGAAGGUUAGGGGAUCGAAAACGAUCAGAUACCGUUGUAGUCUUAACAGUAAACUAUGCCGACUAGGGAUCGGGCGACCUCAAAUUUGAUGUGUCGCUCGGCACCUUACGAGAAAUCAAAGUUUUUGGGUUCUGGGGGGAGUAUGGUCGGAAGGCUGAAACUUAAAGGAAUUGACGGAAGGGCACCACCAGGUGUGGAGCCUGCGGCUUAAUUUGACUCAACACGGGGAAACUCACCAGGUCCAGACAUAACUAGGAUUGACAGAUUGAUAGCUCUUUCAUGAUUUUAUGGGUGGUGGUGCAUGGGCCGUUCUUAGUUGGUGGAGUGAUUUGUCUGGUUAAUUCCGAUAACGAACGAGACCUUAACCUGCUAAAUAGCCAGGCCGGCUUCUGCUGGUCGCAGGCUUCUUAGAGGGACUGUCAG
rnacentral:rRNA from 1 species